ACAGUCGGCCGGUCUGUCGCUUGCACCGCAGGGUGUAUGAGGAAAGUCCGGGCAACACAGAGCGCCUCCCUUCCUAACAGAAAGUUGUCCGCAAGGGUAAAGUAACGCAGAAGAAAAUAACCGCUGUGCCCUCGGGUGCAGUAAGGGUGAGAAGGUAGGGUAAGAGCCUACCGGCUUUGUGGCGACACAAAGGCCGUGCGUCUGGAGGGUUGUAAGGUCAUGUAAACCGACACAAACGAGGGUUGCUCGCCCCACGUCGGAGGGUAGACCGCUAAAGCACCAUGGUGACAUGUGGCUCAGAUAAAUGACAGACGGCUUACUUGGUAAGAGACAGAACCCGGCUUAUAGGCCGGCUGUAUUC
rnacentral:RNase_P_RNA from 1 species